CUAUAGAAGACAACUCCAUAGACACACAGCCUCGCUGGUCUAGCUCUCCAUCUCUAGUUCCAGGUGUCUGUGAGCUAAGGUGUCUUGUUCUCUCAGCGCCUCCCGGACAAGCAGUCCCUUCAUCCCCCUCUCUCUGCCCCACAUCUUCCUGGUGAACAAGCUUCCUAGCACGCCCCUAGGGAACAGCCUGGAGCUGUACUGCUUAGGACAAUAGCCUUAUCCCCUGUGGCUGCUGAGACCCUGACAAGUGCUUCUCUGAAGUACAUAUGUGAGAGAAACUAGGGGUGAAGCUCAGACCAACCAGACCUCAAGAGAGAUUGAAGGAGGGCAAGUGUAGCCAGCACUCCUGGGGUAGUUCCAGAAUGUGCUGAGCAGGAUUUGGGCUGGACAGUAUGGAGCCAAAACCAAGAUCUCACUGAAGAGAGGGCUCGGAGAGCCUGGCUACAGUCUGGUCCAGGAGAGAAUGCGUGUGUCUCAAUCCUGAGAACUGGUCAAUCUGUCCACUGUGAGGACUGGUCAAUCUGUCCACUGUGAGGACUGGUCAGUCUGUCCACUGUGAGGACUGGUCAAUCUGUCCACUGUGAGGACUGGUCAAUCUGUCCACUGUGAGGACUGGUCAAUCUGUCCACUGUGAGGCCUUUUGCCACUUUAUGCCAUCUCUGAGCCUCAGUUUUCUCAUCUGGCAAAUGACGACUACAAAACAGAAUAUUCCUCUAGGGAGGCUUCAAGGGCUCCAUACAAUGGCCUGUACUGAGCUGCUGGCCUUUCGCCAGGCUCAUUGUGAGUGCCUGCUGAACCUGGCCAUCUAGCAUGACACUCUCCCUCUUCAGCACAACAUUAUUGGCCACAGAUGGUACUGGCUCUGAGACCUCCAGGACCCAUGAAUUGGGAGCUCCUGGGAAGGGCAAUCCAGGCCCUUAACUUCUUCCCGAAGAAACAUGGACACCCAAUGCACUCUCUACUGUAAAACUAGGACUCUUGUCUUCCCAGAGACUCUCCAAACACAGCCACUCUUACCAUGACACCAACCUUCCACGACAUCAUGGCGAAACAAGCAUGCUGAUGACCACCCCUGAUCCCAUCCAAAGGACCCACUGGCCAGAGACGAAAGCUGUGAAAUUUAUGCCUAAACACUGCACACUGUCUAAUGCAAACCACCACGAACGCUGGAGCCACACAGCGCAUCUCUGAAGGCUGGAGUCUCGGUGCAUUUCAAACAGCGCUCCCUCUCUGGCUCGGCUGAACAUCGUUAGGAACUGCAGGGAGUGCGAUUUAAUUACAAGAGAACAUUUGUUGUGGGCUGACAUGACAGGUCAGGACCACUGGCCAGAACUGGGCCAUCAAACAUCCAUUACUGUUGGAAACAGGACCAGUAGCCUCUAAAACCAGUGUGGAAGGUUAGAAUUCUCCACAGAGAGGAUGCAUCCUCUUCUCUACCAGUGCUCCGUCUAGCCUGUUUGUUAUGUUCAGUAGGCCCUAAAAAUACAAGAAAACAGAGACAGCCUUCCAUAGACAAGUCAGCUCUGAUGACCAGACCCACAUAUGACCCCCAGGCCUCCUUGGAUAGUAUCAGCUCUGAUGCAUGUGUGGCCCUCUGAGAGAAACCACAAUAGGCCCCUGGCCAUCAUGAAUGAAGUCACGGAUCUGUCUCUUACCUUUGGAACAGGUUUUCCUGGGAGAUCCUGUUCCCAGAAAAGACCUUGGGCAAACCAAAGAUGC